rnacentral:rRNA from 1 species
GACGUAGGGCGCGAGCGUUGUCCGGAUUUAUUGGGCGUAAAGAGCUCGUAGGCGGCUUGUCGCGUCGUCCGUGAAAACUUGGGGCUCAACCCCAAGCUUGCGGUCGAUACGGGCAGGCUGGAGUUCGGUAGGGGAGACUGGAAUUCCAGGUGUAGCGGUGAAAUGCGUAGAUAUCUGGAGGAAUACCGGUGGCGAAGGCGGCAUCCUGGACCGAUAUUGACACUGAUGAGCGAAAGCCAGGGGAGCAAACGGG